GCAGCAGUGGGGAAUUUUCCGCAAUGGGCGAAAGCCUGACGGAGCAACGCCGCGUGAGGGAUGAAGGCCUCUGGGCUGUAAACGUCUNUUUAUCAUGGAUGANAGAUCUGACAGUACUUCAUGAAUAUGUCAUGGCUAAUUCUGUGCCAGCAUUCGCGGUAAUGCGUGAGUGACAAGCGUUAUCAGGAAUUAUUGGGCGUAAAUUGUUCGCAAGCGGUACUUAAAUUAUGGUGUCAAAAAGAAGUGCUUAUGUCCAUCAUACCAUUAAAAACUGCAGUGUUUGAGUUCAGUAUGGACAGAANGGAAUUCUCGGUGUCACCGUGAAAGAAGUAGAUAUCGCGAAGAAUUUCCGUGCAAUAAUUGNCUGAUAAGGCUCACCACUGACGUUUAUGGACGAAAGCCAGCACAGAGAAAGCGAUUAGAUAUUCAUGNAANGUCNCCGUCAGNAUCUUGAUGANACAGNUAANAUGUCGUGGGACAUGCGCAUGCGCUCCGGUGUCGUAGACANACGNCGUUAA
rnacentral:rRNA from 1 species